GACGAACGCUGGCGGCGUGCUUAACACAUGCAAGUCGAGCGAUGAAGUUUCUUCGGAAAUGGAUUAGCGGCGAACGGGUGAGUAACACGUGAGGAAUCUGCCCUUCACUUUGGAAUAACUCCGGGAAACCGGAGCUAAUACCGGAUACGAACUCUGGCGGCAUCGCCGGGGCUGGAAAGUUUUUCGGUGAAGGAUGACCUCCCGGCCUAUCAGCUUGUUGGUGAGGUAAUGGCUCACCAAGGCGACGACGGGUAGCCGGCCUGAGAGGGCGACCGGCCACACUGGGACUGAGACACGGCCCAGACUCCUACGGGAGGCAGCAGUGGGGAAUAUUGGGCAAUGGGCGAAAGCCUGACCCAGCGACGCCGCGUGCGGGAUGAAGGCCUUCGGGUUGUAAACCGCUUUCAGCAGGGAAGAAGCGAAAGUGACGGUACCUGAAGAAGAAGCACCGGCUAACUAUGUGCCAGCCGCCGCCGUAA
rnacentral:rRNA from 1 species